UACGGAGGGGGCUAGCGUUGUUCGGAAUUACUGGGCGUAAAGCGCACGUAGGCGGCUUUGUAAGUUAGAGGUGAAAGCCCGGGGCUCAACCCCGGAAUAGCCUUUAAGACUGCAUCGCUUGAACACGGGAGAGGUGAGUGGAAUUCCGAGUGUAGAGGUGAAAUUCGUAGAUAUUCGGAAGAACACCAGUGGCGAAGGCGGCUCACUGGACCGUUGUUGACGCUGAGGGGCGAAAGCGUGGGGAGCAAACAGG
rnacentral:rRNA from 1 species